AGAGUUUGAUCCUGGCUCAGAUUGAACGCUGGCGGCAUGCUUUACACAUGCAAGUCGGACGGCAGCACAGGGAAGCUUGCUUCUCGGGUGGCGAGUGGCGAACGGGUGAGUAACAUAUCGGAACGUACCGGGUAGCGGGGGAUAACUGAUCGAAAGAUCAGCUAAUACCGCAUACGUCUUGAGAGGGAAAGCAGGGGACCUUCGGGCCUUGCGCUAUCCGAGCGGCCGAUAUCUGAUUAGCUGGUUGGCGGGGUAAAGGCCCACCAAGGCGACGAUCAGUAGCGGGUCUGAGAGGAUGAUCCGCCACACUGGGACUGAGACACGGCCCAGACUCCUACGGGAGGCAGCAGUGGGGAAUUUUGGACAAUGGGCGCAAGCCUGAUCCAGCCAUGCCGCGUGUCUGAAGAAGGCCUUCGGGUUGUAAAGGACUUUUGUCAGGGAAGAAAAGGCCGUUGCCAAUAUCGGCGGCCGAUGACGGUACCUGAAGAAUAAGCACCGGCUAACUACGUGCCAGCAGCCGCGGUAAUACGUAGGGUGCGAGCGUUAAUCGGAAUUACUGGGCGUAAAGCGGGCGCAGACGGUUACUUAAGCAGGAUGUGAAAUCCCCGGGCUCAACCCGGGAACUGCGUUCUGAACUGGGUGACUCGAGUGUGUCAGAGGGAGGUGGAAUUCCACGUGUAGCAGUGAAAUGCGUAGAGAUGUGGAGGAAUACCGAUGGCGAAGGCAGCCUCCUGGGAUAACACUGACGUUCAUGUCCGAAAGCGUGGGUAGCAAACAGGAUUAGAUACCCUGGUAGUCCACGCCCUAAACGAUGUCAAUUAGCUGUUGGGCAACUUGAUUGCUUGGUAGCGUAGCUAACGCGUGAAAUUGACCGCCUGGGGAGUACGGUCGCAAGAUUAAAACUCAAAGGAAUUGACGGGGACCCGCACAAGCGGUGGAUGAUGUGGAUUAAUUCGAUGCAACGCGAAGAACCUUACCUGGUUUUGACAUGUGCGGAAUCCUCCGGAGACGGAGGAGUGCCUUCGGGAGCCGUAACACAGGUGCUGCAUGGCUGUCGUCAGCUCGUGUCGUGAGAUGUUGGGUUAAGUCCCGCAACGAGCGCAACCCUUGUCAUUAGUUGCCAUCAUUCGGUUGGGCACUCUAAUGAGACUGCCGGUGACAAGCCGGAGGAAGGUGGGGAUGACGUCAAGUCCUCAUGGCCCUUAUGACCAGGGCUUCACACGUCAUACAAUGGUCGGUACAGAGGGUAGCCAAGCCGCGAGGCGGAGCCAAUCUCACAAAACCGAUCGUAGUCCGGAUUGCACUCUGCAACUCGAGUGCAUGAAGUCGGAAUCGCUAGUAAUCGCAGGUCAGCAUACUGCGGUGAAUACGUUCCCGGGUCUUGUACACACCGCCCGUCACACCAUGGGAGUGGGGGAUACCAGAAGUAGGUAGGGUAACCGCAAGGAGUCCGCUUACCACGGUAUGCUUCAUGACUGGGGUGAAGUCGUAACAAGGUAGCCGUAGGGGAACCUGCGGCUG
rnacentral:rRNA from 9 species